GGGGGUGUAGCUUAAUGGUAGAGCUUCUGCUUUGCAUGCAGGGGGUAUAGGUUCGAUUCCUAUCAUCUCCA